AUUCCAGCUCCAAUAGCGUAUAUUAAAGUUGUUGCGGUUAAAAAGCUCGUAGUUGGAUUUCUGCCGAGGAUGACCGGUCCGCCCUGUGGGUGUGCAUCUGGCUCAGCCUUGGCAUCUUCCUGAAGAACGUAGCUGCACUUGACUGUGUGGUGCGGUAUUUAGGACAUUUACUUUGAGGAAAUUAGAGUGUUUCAAGCAAGCGCACGCUUUGAAUACAUUAGCAUGGAAUAAUAAGAUAGGACCUCGGUUCUAUUUUGUUGGUUUCUAGGGCUGAGGUAAUGAUUGAUAGGGAUAGUUGGGGGCAUUCGUAUUUAAACGACAGAGGUGAAAUUCUUGGACCGUUUGAAGACAAACUACUGCGAAAGCAUUUGCCAAGAAUGUUUUCAUCA
rnacentral:rRNA from 1 species